UACAGAGGUCUCAAGCGUUGUUCGGAUUCAUUGGGCGUAAAGGGUGCGUAGGCGGCGCGGUAAGUCGGGUGUGAAAUCUCGGGGCUUAACUCCGAAACUGCAUUCGAUACUGCCGUGCUUGAGGACUGGAGAGGAGACUGGAAUUUACGGUGUAGCGGUGAAAUGCGCAGAUAUCAGGAGGAACACCGGUGGCGAAGGCGGUUCUCUGGGCCUUACCUGACGCUGAGGAGCGAAAGCAUGGGGAGCAAACAGG
rnacentral:rRNA from 1 species